rnacentral:lncRNA from 1 species
UGUCACAUUAUCCAAUCAGUACAGUUUAUUCAUUAAAGUUUCCCCUGUUUCGCUGUCCAAUAGUUCUGACCUCUCUUCACUAAAAAUUAUUUAUCUCAUAUUUCAAGGCUUGGAUGAUGUUCCCAUUCAUUCCUCCUGAAAAAUUAUAACUCAUAAUUAUUUUUGUACAAUUUUUAACGAUUUUUCCAGGUCAGAACAGGGGAUCUCGAAUUCAUUCUGAC